rnacentral:tRNA from 1 species
GCGGGUGUAGCUCAAUGGUAGAGCUCCAGCUUCCCAAGCUGGUGACGAGGGUUCGAUUCCCUUCACCCGCUCCA